rnacentral:rRNA from 1 species
GCUAAGACUGGAUAGGAAGAAAUAAGGCAUCUUUUUUCUUUUAAAAGACCUAGUGAUAGGUAUACUUUAGGAGGGGCUUGCGCCAUAUUAGUUAGUUGGUAGGGUAAUGGCCUACCAAGACGAUGAUGGGUAGCUGGACUGAGAGGUUGAACAGCCACAUUGGGACUGAGACACGGCCCAAACUCCUACGGGAGGCAGCAGUAGGGAAUUUUCGGCAAUGGAGGAAACUCUGACCGAGCAACGCCGCGUGAACGACGAAGUACUUUGGUAUGUAAAGUUCUUUUAUCAAGGAAGAAAAGCAAGUGGUGAACCAUUUGUUUGCCGGUACUUGAUGAAUAAGCCCCGGCUAAUUAUAUGCCAGCAGCCGCGGUAAGACAUAAGGGGCAAGUGUUAUCCGGAAUUAUUGGGCGUAAAGGGUGCGUAGGCGGUCUAGUAAGUCAGUGGUGUAAUGGCAACGCUCAACGUUGUCCGGCUAUUGAAACUGCUAAACUUGAGUUAGAUAGAGGCGAGUGGAAUUCCAUGUGUAGCGGUAAAAUGCGUAAAUAUAUGGAGGAACACCAGAGGCGUAGGCGGCUCGCUGGGUCUUAACUGACGCUGAGGCACGAAAGCGUGGGGAGCAAACAGGAUUAGAUACCCUGGUAGUCCACGCCGUAAACGAUGAGUACUAAGUGUCGGGUUAAACCGGUACUGAAGUUAACACAUUAAGUACUCCGCCUGAGUAGUACGUACGCAAGUAUGAAACUUAAAGGAAUUGACGGGACUCCGCACAAGCGGUGGAUCAUGUUGUUUAAUUCGAAGAUACCCGAAAAACCUUACCAGGUCUUGACAUGUUUUUGCGAAACGGUAGUAAUAUCGUGGAGGUUAUCAGAAACACAGGUGGUGCAUGGUUGUCGUCAGCUCGUGUCGUGAGAUGUUAGGUUAAGUCCUAAAACGAGCGAAACCCUUAUCGUUAGUUGCCAGCACGUUAUGGUGGGGACUUUAACGAGACUGCCAGUGAUAAAUUGGAGGAAGGUGAGGAUCACGUCAAAUCAGCAUGCCCCUUAUGACCUGGGCUACAAACGUGAUACAAUGGCUGUUACAAAGGGUAGCUGAAACGCAAGUUCUUGGCCAAUCCCCAAAAACAGUCUCAGUCCGGAUUGAAGUCUGCAACUCGACUUCAUGAAGUUGGAAUCGCUAGUAAUCGCGAAUCAGCAUGUCGCGGUGAAUACGUUCUCGGGGUUUGUACACACCGCCCGUCAUGAUUUAGCCUUAUUUAACAAAUCAUUGAUUUCAGAAGCUUUAACCAUUUUGUUGUUUACAAAAUUUACUACGUCUGCAUCAUUCCAUUCUUUAGGAGCAGCACUUUCUUCAUUAACAAAUUUUAAUG